rnacentral:tRNA from 1 species
UUAGGGAGACCUUACCCGCUCUGCGCUGAUGUUUCCGUAUAGACUUUGCAGAUGAUGCGGAGUUUGUAUGGGGACAAAGAAGGCGAGAGAGUUGGUUAUCCCAAGGUCGAGCAGGGAAGAGUGAAGCUGACUUCCAAACUACACCAGGUUGAAUGAAAGGGCUAUUAGCUCAGGUGGUUAGAGCGCACCCCUGAUAAGGGUGAGGUCCCUGGUUCGAGUCCAGGAUGGCCCACCUUAAAAAACUUGGUUGAUUUAAUUUUGGGGGUUUAGCUCAGUUGGUAGAGCGCCUGCUUUGCAAGCAGGAUGUCAGCAGUUCGAGUCUGCUAACCUCCAUGGGUUUCAAAUAGAGCCCUUUUGUUUUGUUUGAGGAAGUAUUCAGCAAUUGUUCUAGCGAAGGAGUUAGACAAGAUGCUGGAAUAGAUUCCAGUGAGGCACCUUGAAAACUGCAUAGUAGAAGAAGUCAGGUAGAAGGGACUGAGACUUAUUCAGAGCGACGAGCGAGGACAACGAAGGCUUGCGAGAGACAAGUUGUCUGGAGUGAAGGAGUGAUGAGUAAGGAGCAGUCAAGAAAACAGACAUUUUAAGUGAGAA